rnacentral:miRNA from 1 species
UAUCAUAUGUGAUUUGUCCCAAACCCAAAAACACUUCCUGAGAGAGUGCUCACAGAAGUUUCAUCCUGAACCCUAAUGGCUCAGGAAGGCUCAAGAAAUAU